CAGCCUCCUCCUUUCACCCAUUCAGUCCAGCUCCGCCAUCAAAACCAUCCGAGGAGCCUUCGGAUGAAGAGAUGGUCAGGGCGGUAGUUGACAUCGAGGAAUGUACCGGCCCCUCUCUCGCUCCCGCAGCAUCCACCUCCUGCCCCCACCUCAGCAGGAUCAAGGAUGGGGGCUGGUGACUCUGCUGUGCUCGGUGAGCCCACGGAUGAGGAGCUGCUGGAGGCCACCCUGGAACAAGAACUCCUCAUAAUGCCUCCAGCAGCUCUCACCACAGGUGAGCCAGCAGAGUCACCAGUUCCCCCACCAUCACCUGCAGCUGCCACCGUGAGGCCGCCACCUCCAGCUGCCAGUCUGCAGCCACCUGCAGCUGCCACUGUUACACCGCCACCUGCAGCUGCCAUCCUGUCACCACCUGCAGCUGCCACCUGCAGCUGCCAUCCUUCCGCCACCUGCAGCUGCCUCCCUGCCGCCACCUGCAGCUGCCAGCCUGGAGGAAGGAUUACGGGAGGAGUUGCCCGGGCCUGCCUCCCUCCCACCACCUGCUGACAGUGCUGAGGUAAAGCUGUCUGUCAAACAUAUCAGGCCUCAGAUGUCACUGCUGUCCUAAUUCAUAAAGUGUCGUCCUCUGAUAUUAAAGGGCAACAAGAGGAACAUAAUCCUCUUGUUGUCAGCUGCUGCCUCAGUCCUGGAGAGCAGCUCUCACUGUGGAGCAGCAGAGGUGGAUCGGUCGGGUGCUGUUUUCCAGGGACAGCAGGGGGAGGCCACAGCUCAUCAGUGAGCUAAACGUCUGGUGGUCCCCCCCCCAACCCCGGCCGGUCAACAACCAGCCUCCCGCGUCCCCCGACCCCUUCUUUGCAUGUCGGCUGUUCCUGUGGAUGCCACACCGGAUCUGGCAUCUGCAGCUGACAUGCCCCCAGCCUUUGUGCACCAGGUCCAUGACAAAGGCUGGGCUGUACAGGAACAUCCGGAGGGUCCUGGACAUCGACGGCGGGUAUCUCAUGGCCACUGAGUACAUGGAGUGCCGUCGAUGUAAGAAGAAGGUCGGUGGGUGGUCACAGGGCAUCAUAAGGCAGCUGCCUCCCACCUAGAGCUGCCAGUUUCCAGCUGUACUUAUGUACAAGCUGUCCAGCUGUGUAAAUUCUACCUUCUAGAAGUGGCUCAACAGGAAGUGCAGACGUACUGAAGACCCCAAAGACUGCUGUCUACUGACUCAACACCUGGAUACCACUUAAACAAGACCAGGAACCUUUUUGUUUCGAGUUCAAACUUGUGUUUAAGUGUCCAUUUUGAUAGGUAGAGAAUUUUAGGGCACUGUUUUGAGCAAACUUUUGCAACAACUAAGCUGGAUACAGAUGGCAUUUCUGAUUUAUCCUCUAAAAUUUCACUUAGACUACACUUGACUAAGGUAAGGUGCUAUGCUGGACAUAUUUUGUGUUUUUAAAGGACACUGCCACUGGAAUAAGAGGUGCUUUUCUCUGUUAUUACUCCUCAUGAGCCUAUAAAACCAUGUACAAGUAAGACUCUUGAGCAGAGAUUCAGAAGAACCUAUAAAUCACAGAGACGAUGUAUAUAUGGUUUCAACUUUUGUUCAUACAUAAAUAAAAUUAAAUAGGCAGCCAUGUCAUGUAGU